UAGGGAAUCUUCGGCAAUGGACGAAAGUCUGACCGAGCAACGCCGCGUGAGUGAAGAAGGUUUUCGGAUCGUAAAACUCUGUUGUUAGAGAAGAACAAGGACGUUAGUAACUGAACGUCCCCUGACGGUAUCUAACCAGAAAGCCACGGCUAACUACGUGCCAGCAGCCGCGGUAAUACGUAGGUGGCAAGCGUUGUCCGGAUUUAUUGGGCGUAAAGCGAGCGCAGGCGGUUUCUUAAGUCUGAUGUGAAAGCCCCCGGCUCAACCGGGAAGGGUCAUUGGAAACUGGGAGACUUGAGUGCAGAAGAGGGGGGUGGAAUUCCAUGUGUAGCGGUGAAAUGCGUAGAUAUAUGGAGGAACACCAGUGGCGAAGGCGGCUCUCUGGGCUGUAACUGACGCUGAGGCUCGAAAGCGUGGGGAGCAAACAGG
rnacentral:rRNA from 1 species